GAUGAACGCUGGCUACAGGCUUAACACAUGCAAGUCGAGGGGAAACGACGGGGAAGCUUGCUUCCCCGGGCGUCGACCGGCGCACGGGUGAGUAACGCGUAUCCAACCUGCCUCUGACUGAGGGAUAACCCGUCGAAAGUCGGCCUAAUACCUCAUGGCAUCGUCUGCGGGCAUCCAACGACGAUUAAAGAUUUCAUCGGUCAGGGAUGGGGAUGCGUCUGAUUAGCCUGUUGGCGGGGUAACGGCCCACCAAGGCUACGAUCAGUAGGGGUUCUGAGAGGAAGGUCCCCCACAUUGGAACUGAGACACGGUCCAAACUCCUACGGGAGGCAGCAGUGAGGAAUAUUGGUCAAUGGGCGGGAGCCUGAAUCAGCCAAGUAGCGUGCAGGAUGACGGCCCUAUGGGUUGUAAACUGCUUUUAUGCGGGGAUAAAGUGAGGGACGUGUCCUUCAUUGCAGGUACCGCAUGAAUAAGGACCGGCUAAUUCCGUG
rnacentral:rRNA from 1 species